CAAUGUUGUCUUGAAAUAAAUUCUGUAAUUCCUCAGGCAUUUGGGAGAAAGUCACUUUAUUCGAGCCCUUAUCUCAACAAAAACUUGGCGGCUCAUACUGAAAUUUUUUGCGGCACAAAAUUUACAGUCAGGUCACAAGAUAAUGUUUAAGGGUUUGAUCAUUAGCAUUGAAGCUAUGCAAGUUGGUCAAAAGAGAAGACUCGUUAUUGCACCAUCGUUGAGUUGGUGCAGCCCCGAAAGCAAGGCUAAGCCUCCAAUACUGGUCAGCUAUAUGAAUCAAUGAGGAUAGAGGGGAAAACUACAUGAAUCUAUUUACUUACAAAUCUACCCUUAUCCUUGAAUGACAAUUUCCUGAGUAUCACUCCUGCAUAAACAGAUAUAAAAAUGCUCCUGUGAAUGAGAGGUUGCUGCUAUCAGUCGUUUAGCAGACUGUAGUUCGUGUAUACUCCUAAUUUUGUAGCAUGUAAGUUAAUGAAGCACAAUAAUACUACAUUUAAGGCGGCAUACAUACAUAUAUUAAACAAUAUUUACAAUAACCAUAAGUGCGUCAUCCAGUCAAAUUGCUUCAGACCAUUGUUCUAGUACUAGUUAGAAUACAACCCAAAAAGCUUACAAUCCUUGUAUUUUCAGCUAUAACACGAUCAUAUUCCAAAUGUAUAGCGGCGGGAUGGGAGAGCUAAGAGUCCAGCCAACUUUUGGCAUUCCUAAAAACAGGUACGACAUCCCUAAGGUGAAGAGGUAAAUACUAGUAGCCUGAG